CACAAAACGUAUAGGGCGCCGAAUUUGGUAAUUAUGGUCAUAGAUGCAUCAUCACCCCGAUGAUGUACAAUGGCACAAUGCAACACCACCAGCCAGAUGUAGUUCUAUCUACUACUCCCUCUGUUCCUAAAUAUAAGUCUUUAUAGAGAUUCCACUAAUAACUACUCCCUCCGUUCUUAAAUAUAAGUCUUUUUAAAGGUUCCGCUAAAAAACUAUAUGGAUGUAUAU
rnacentral:lncRNA from 1 species